UGGCGGGUGCAAGGUAACAUUUGGGUCUUUGUUUGGAGGACGGGCUGCAACACCUUGUGUGUUGACACUUUGGGCACCUCGUGGGUCCUUGUUGACGUCGCUUAAACUCCGGAGCUGCUGGGACUUAUUAUAAAUAAUUUUUUUCUAGGUAAUACUUUAACCAUCGUUCUAUUGUUUAUUUUAAACAUUUAAACGUAUAUGUCCAUGUCAAUGAUGGACAUAUACGAUGUAUUAAUUUGGCAUUAGUAUUUAACCUUUUAAUUUAUUAAUUAAAAAGGCCUGACUGGUCUACCUGGAAAUUUUCAUGUGGCUCUCAAUUUGUUUCUGGGCAGAUAAAUAUUUUUUAUCCGUUUUGUGUGUUAAUUCUCAUUAUUUCCUAAAAUGAUUCCGGCUUGUAAUAAACCAGAAACACGUUCAGGUGUUAGCUAAAUAUAAUCUACAUCAAAAUGUUAAUAUACUAGUAUAUACUAGCUAGGUUUCAACUAACAAUGUGGCAACUCUGGUCAUAAAAAGAAAUCCCACCAGAUUCAACUAACACGAGAUAUAACAUAACAUUCUUCUAGAAUGUUCUGGAGGGAUGAAGGUUGACGCAUUAUCCUUGUGAUUGCGUCAGUGUUCUCUGCUUGAUUCCGUAUAUUUUAUUUAUCCAAUUUUUUUAAAUUUAUUCCACUAAGUGUUCAUCCAUAACGAUAAUAACCUUUGAGGACGACCGCAUAGAGCUUCGGUGCUUGAUAGGACCGCUUAGUGGUUUGGGAUCGACGUAAGAGUUACAUAUCACGUAAGUGGAAACGUAGGUGCUCCAUGAGUUCUGGUCUGGAGUUGUCUUUGAUUAUUGUGUUAGCAACACUCAGGUUCCUGUGUUACAUCUGGAGAGCAAAGUUUACAUUGUGUAAUCAUACUUUCGCACCUCUCACAGGAUGGCCUCGCUGGUGCUGAUGACGGAGGCACAAAUCUUUCGUCUUCCACCUAACGUAGGACGACCUCGACCCCCAGGCCCGGUGUUGCCCAGCUGUGCGUGUGUCCGCGACCAGCCCUGCCCAUGCAGAAACAGCGGCAAACCCUAUUUUGUAAUUCACCCAUAGAACUCUUGCCAUGUUCACAAGUAGUCUCUGGUUCUCAAUAUAUCCACAUGUAUUACUGAGGCGUUGAGGAUACUCGCGUGUUAUUUAGAGCUGAUAACAAUUAUAUGAGUAAACAUGUGUGGAAAUACAUGCUAAUAAAUGAGGUUUAAUGUG